rnacentral:rRNA from 2 species
AUGUGAAAGCCCCCGGCUCAACCGGGGAGGGUCAUUGGAAACUGGGAAACUUGAGUGCAGAAGAGGAGAGUGGAAUUCCACGUGUAGCGGUGAAAUGCGUAGAGAUGUGGAGGAACACCAGUGGCGAAGGCGACUCUCUGGUCUGUAACUGACGCUGAGGAGCGAAAGCGUGGGGAGCGAACAGGAUUAGAUACCCUGGUAGUCCACGCCGUAAACGAUGAGUGCUAAGUGUUAGGGGGUUUCCGCCCCUUAGUGCUGCAGCUAACGCAUUAAGCACUCCGCCUGGGGAGUACGGUCGCAAGACUGAAACUCAAAGGAAUUGACGGGGGCCCGCACAAGCGGUGGAGCAUGUGGUUUAAUUCGAAGCAACGCGAAGAACCUUACCAGGUCUUGACAUCCUCUGACAACCCUAGAGAUAGGGCUUUCCCUUCGGGGACAGAGUGACAGGUGGUGCAUGGUUGUCGUCAGCUCGUGUCGUGAGAUGUUGGGUUAAGUCCCGCAACGAGCGCAACCCUUGAUCUUAGUUGCCAGCAUUCAGUUGGGCACUCUAAGGUGACUGCCGGUGACAAACCGGAGGAAGGUGGGGAUGACGUCAAAUCAUCAUGCCCCUUAUGACCUGGGCUACACACGUGCUACAAUGGACAGAACAAAGGGCUGCAAGACCGCAAGGUUUAGCCAAUCCCAUAAAUCUGUUCUCAGUUCGGAUCGCAGUCUGCAACUCGACUGCGUGAAGCUGACAUCGCUAGUAUC